rnacentral:rRNA from 1 species
AUGAACGCUGGCGGCGUGCCUAAUACAUGCAAGUCGAGCGAACAGACGAGGAGCUUGCUCCUCUGACGUUAGCGGCGGACGGGUUAGUAACACGUGGAUAACCUACCUAUAAGACUGGGAUAACUUCGGGAAACCGGAGCUAAUACCGGAUAAUAUAUUGAACCGCAUGGUUCCAUAGUGAAAGACGGUUUUGCUGUCACUUAUAGAUGGAUCCGCGCCGCAUUAGCUAGUUGGUAAGGUAACGGCUUACCAAGGCGACGAUGCGUAGCCGACCUGAGAGGGUGAUCGGCCACACUGGAACUGAGACACGGUCCAGACUCCUACGGGAGGCAGCAGUAGGGAAUCUUCCGCAAUGGGCGAAAGCCUGACGGAGCAACGCCGCGUGAGUGAUGAAGGUCUUCGGAUCGUAAAACUCUGUUAUUAGGGAAGAACAAAUGUGUAAGUAACUAUGCACGUCUUGACGGUACCUAAUCAGAAAGCCACGGCUAACUACGUG